rnacentral:tRNA from 1 species
GGAGAGGUGGAUGAGCGGUUGAAGUCGCACGCCUGGAAAGCGUGUAUACGUUAAACAGCGUAUCGAGGGUUCGAAUCCCUUCCUCUCCGCCA